rnacentral:rRNA from 1 species
UUCUGGUUGAUCCCGCCGGACCUUACUGCUAUCGGGGUGGGACUAAGACAUGCGAGUUGAGCGUCUCUAGCUAUGUUGAGACGCGGCAUACGGCUCAGUAACACGUGGCUAACCUACCCUCAGGACGGGGACAAACCCGGGAAACUGGGGCUAAUAUCCGAUAGGCGAGGAAUCCUGGAAUGGGUCCUCACCCAAAGGACAUUGGAAACAUGCUUUCUCUGUCGCCUGGGGAUGGGGCCGCGACCGAUCAGGUUGUUGGUGAGGUAAUGGCUCACCAAGCCUUUAACCGGUACGGGCCGUGAGAGCGGUAGCCCGGAGAUGGGUACUGAGACAAGGACCCAGGCCCUACGGGGCGCAGCAGUCGCGAAAACUCCGCAAUGCACGAAAGUGUGACGGGGCUACCCCGAGUGCCGUCCGCUGAGAAUGGCUUUUCCUUGGUGUAACUAGCCGGGGGAAUAAGGAGAGGGNCAGACUGGUGUCAGCCGCCGCGGUAA